AGUGAACGCUGGCGGUAGGCCUAACACAUGCAAGUCGAACGGCAGCACAGUAAGAUCUUGCUCUUACGGGUGGCGAGUGGCGGACGGGUGAGGAAUACAUCGGAAUCUACUUUUUCGUGGGGGAUAACGUAGGGAAACUUACGCUAAUACCGCAUACGACCUACGGGUGAAAGCAGGGGAUCUUCGGACCUUGCGCGAUUGAAUGAGCCGAUGUCGGAUUAGCUAGUUGGCGGGGUAAAGGCCCACCAAGGCGACGAUCCGUAGCUGGUCUGAGAGGAUGAUCGGCCACACUGGAACUGAGACACGGUCCAGACUCCUACGGGAGGCAGCAGUGGGGAAUAUUGGACAAUGGGCGCAAGCCUGAUCCAGCCAUACCGCGUGGGUGAAGAAGGCCUUCGGUUCGUAAAGCCCUUUUGUGGGGAAAGAAAAGCAGCAGGUUAAUACGCCGCUGUUCUGACGGUACCCAAUGAAGAAGCACCGGCUAACUUCGUG
rnacentral:rRNA from 1 species